GGGGACGCUACGGAUUCGACAGGGGUAGUUCGAGCUUAGGUUGCGAGUCGAGGGGAUCGGCCUCGUUAAAACGUCAAAGCCUAUAACUGGCAAAACAAACACAACUUUAGCUGCUGCCUAAUUAGCACAGCUGUUCGCCCCUCCAUCGCCUAUGUGGUAGGGUAGCGGACUCAAAUUUAGUAGGCUACGCCGGAUUCCACCGUCUGAGGAAAAAGGAAGAGAAUAACCAGACUAGCUGCCCGGACGCCCGUCGAUAGGCAUAUGGUGCAGCGAAUCGCGAAUAUAUCGACUACACUCGUAGAAGCUUAAGUGCCGAUAUUCUUGGACGUGGGUUCGAUUCCCACCGUCUCCACUA
rnacentral:tmRNA from 1 species